rnacentral:sRNA from 1 species
GAUUUUUCUCGAUGCACUGGGGAAAGCGGUGGACUCUUAUCGUGGGAGGGCUCUUGAUCUGUGAUUUAUAGAUAGGCACAGCUACUCCCGUUCGGGAACCCAACGGCAGACAGGUCCUAGUGCCCAUCAGAUACCCGCGGCCGGGACUCGGAGCUGUGGGGUGUGGGGAGGCGGAGGCACCAACUAAGAGCGACCUAGCAUCGCAAAGCCGCCCUCGGGGCGCUGAUGGCCAGACGCCUCCUGGGAAAGGCUUUAGCCGCGGUGUCUCUCUCUCUGGCCUUGGCCUCUGUGACUAUCAGGUCCUCGGGCUGCCGCGGCAUCCCGGCGUUCAGUAGAGACAGGGUUUCACCAUGUUGAGCAGGCUGGUCUCGAACUCCUGACCUCAAGUGAUCUGCCCUCCUUAGCCUCCCAAAGUGUUGGGAUUACAGAUAUGAGCCACCACACCUGGCCUACACUUGUUUUUAUGGUUUGAGUUUUCAUAACAAACUUCCCCUUCCACAACAGAUAGCACACAAAAACUCGUUUUCAUCUUCUUGGUUUCAUCUUAAUACCAACGUCAUGUCUGG